rnacentral:misc_RNA from 1 species
CACGAAGUUACGAAGGCUCCUAAAACCCUCGUGAACUAUCCAAGUUGCUUGGGCGCGGCUCCCUCACGGCGGACCGCAGCCCCGCCUCUCAGGUACGGUACGGGCAACCGCCAGGAGGUACCCGAAACUCUGUAUUCUAUAGUGGUAUCUCUGAGUAUAAACCAUAAUAAGUCA